rnacentral:misc_RNA from 1 species
GAAAUGCGAUAAGUAAUGUGAAUUGCAGAAUUCAGUGAAUCAUCGAAUCUUUGAACGCACCUUGCGCUCCUUGGUAUUCCUUGGAGCAUGCCUGUUUGAGUAUCAUGAAAUCUUCAAAGUAAAUCUUUUGUUAACUCAAUUGGUUUCUACUUUGGUAUUGGAGGUCUUUGCAGCUUCACACCUGCUCCUCUUUGUUCAUUAGCUGGAUCUCAGUGUUAUGCUUGGUGCCACUCGGCGUGAUAAGUUAUCUAUCGCUGAGGACACUGUAAAAGGUGGCCAAGGUAAAUGCAGAUGAACCGCUUCUAAUAGUCCAUUGACUUGGACAAUACUUUUAUGAUCUGAUCUCAAAUCAGGUAGGACUACCCGCUGAACUUAAGC